rnacentral:rRNA from 1 species
UAUACCGUGAAACUGCGAAUGGCUCAUUAAAUCAGUUAUCGUUUAUUUGAUAGUACCUUACUACUUGGAUAACCGUGGUAAUUCUAGAGCUAAUACAUGCUUACAACCUCGACUUCGGAAGGGGUGUAUUUAUUAGAUAAAAAACCAACGCCCUUCGGGGCUUCUUGGUGAUUCAUGAUAACUUUGCGGAUCGCAUGGCCUUGCGCUAGCGACGGUUCAUUCAAAUUUCUGCCCUAUCAACUUUCGAUGGUAAGGUAUUGGCUUACCAUGGUUUCAACGGGUAACGGGGAAUUAGGGUUCGAUUCCGGAGAGGGAGCCUGAGAAACGGCUACCACAUCCAAGGAAGGCAGCAGGCGCGCAAAUUACCCAAUCCCAAUACGGGGAGGUAGUGACAAUAAAUACUGAUACAGGGCUCUUUUGGGUCUUGUAAUUGGAAUGAGUACAAUUUAAACCUCUUAACGAGGAACAAUUGGAGGGCAAGUCUGGUGCCAGCAGCCGCGGUAAUUCCAGCUCCAAUAGCGUAUAUUAAAGUUGUUGCAGUUAAAAAGCUCGUAGUUGAACCUUGGGUCUGGCUGGCAGGUCCGCCUCACCGCGUGUACUUGUCCGGCCGGGCCUUCCUUCUGGAGAACCUCAUGCCCUUCACUGGGCGUGUUGGGGACCAGGACUUUUACUUUGAAAAAAUUAGAGUGUUCAAAGCAUGCCUUUGCUCGAAUACGUUAGCAUGGAAUAAUAGAAUAGGACGUGCGGUCCUAUUUUGUUGGUUUCUAGGACCGCCGUAAUGAUUAAUAGGGACAGUCGGGGGCAUCAGUAUUCAAUUGUCAGAGGUGAAAUUCUUGGAUUUAUUGAAGACUAACUACUGCGAAAGCAUUUGCCAAGGAUGUUUUCAUUAAUCAGUGAACGAAAGUUAGGGGAUCGAAGACGAUCAGAUACCGUCGUAGUCUUAACCGUAAACUAUGCCGACUAGGGAUCGGGCGAUGUUAUUUUUCUGACUCGCUCGGCACCUUACGAGAAAUCAAAGUUUUUGGG